UCUCCGUAGGUGAACCAGCGGAGGGAUCAUUACCGAGUUUUUCUACUCCCAAACCCCUGUGAACUUAUACCUUUACUGUUGCUUCGGCGUGAUAACGCCCCGGAAGGCCCAAAAAGCCGCCGGCACCAUGCGCACGCCGGGGAACCCAUACUCUUGUUUUUCUUACUUCGCAUGUCUGAGAUGAAUCAUAAACAAUUAAAUCAAAACUUUCAACAACGGAUCUUUUGGUUCUG
rnacentral:misc_RNA from 1 species